UCCUCCCUCUGUCGGCGUGCCUAAUACAUGCAAGUUGAGCGCUGAAGGUUGGUACUUGUACCAACUGGAUGAGCAGCGAACGGGUGAGUAACGCGUGGGGAAUCUGCCUUUGAGCGGGGGACAACAUUUGGAAACGAAUGCUAAUACCGCAUAAAAACUUUAAACACAAGUUUUAAGUUUGAAAGAUGCAAUUGCAUCACUCAAAGAUGAUCCCGCGUUGUAUUAGCUAGUUGGUGAGGUAAAGGCUCACCAAGGCGAUGAUACAUAGCCGACCUGAGAGGGUGAUCGGCCACAAUGGGACUGGGACACGGCCCAAACUCCUACGGGAGGCAGCAGUAGGGAAUCUUCGGCAAUGGACGAAAGUCUGACCGAGCAACGCCGCGUGAGUGAAGAAGGUUUUCGGAUCGUAAAACUCUGUUGGUAGAGAAGAACGUUGGUGAGAGUGGAAAGCUCAUCAAGUGACGGUAACUACCCAGAAAGGGACGGCUAACUACGUG
rnacentral:rRNA from 1 species